rnacentral:rRNA from 1 species
UACGGGGGGGGCAAGCGUUGUUCGGAAUUACUGGGCGUAAAGGGCGCGUAGGCGGUUUGCUAAGUUGGAUGUGAAACUCUGGGCUUAACCCAGAGCCUGCAUCCAAAACUGGCAAACUUGAGUACUGGAGGGGAAAGCGGAAUUCCUGGUGUAGCGGUGAAAUGCGUAGAUAUCAGGAGGAACACCAGUGGCGAAGGCGACUUCCUGGCCUGUUCUUGACGCUGGAGGCGCGAAAGCUAGGGGAGCAAACGGG